GAAAUGCGAUAAGUAAUGUGAAUUGCAGAAUUCCGUGAAUCAUCGAAUCUUUGAACGCACAUUGCGCCCUCUGGUAUUCCGGGGGGCAUGCCUGUCCGAGCGUCAUUGCGAACCCCUCAAGCACGGCUUGUGUGAUGGGCCCUCCCGCGUCUUGGUCGUCAAGACGGGCCCGAAAUGCAGUGGCGGCUUCGCGGUUAUCCGAUCAGCCAGAGCGUAUGGGGACUCUCUCUCUUGUCACACGCCCGCGGCGCGGACCGACGCCUGUCCGGUUAACAAUCUUUCUUCCAAGGUUGACCUCGGAUCAGGUAGGGAUACCCGCUGAACUUAAGC
rnacentral:misc_RNA from 1 species